AGAAACAAUAAUUUUCUGGAUAUGGAGGGUGAUACACAGAGUCUUCGCAAAAGAGUGGACAAUCUUAAGAAUUUAUAAAGGGGUUUGAUACUGAUGAUGGCUUUGACUUUAUUAGGAGAAUGCUUGAGGAGCACUUUGGGCAAUGCGAAGAGAUUUCAAGCAUGUCUAUUCUUAAAGAUUUUGAAUUUGGUGGUUCUAAAGGGUAGGC